rnacentral:RNase_P_RNA from 2 species
CUUUGGGGCCGGAAUGUCGCUCCGAGUUCUUUGUAUCUCCGAGAGGAAAGUCCGGACACCACCGGGCGGGAUUCCCGUCGAGAAACGUUGUCGCGCCGGUUCGGCCGCACGGUCGCAAGGCCGUCGCACCGGCCGGAUUCGCCUCCGCUCAAGCCGGGGCAACGCGGGCCAUAUCCCGCGUUGACGGACAGUGUCACAGAAAACAGACAGCCCGCCGCGCCGUCGCAAGACGCGCGCGGCAGGUGAUGGUGAAAAGGUGGGGCAAGAGCCCACCGCGCUCCGCCGCAAGGCGGGCGGCACGAAAAACCCAAUCCGGUGCAAGGCAAAAUAGGCGGCUGGACGGCCCGUCCCAUAGCCGCGGGUAUGCCGCAUCCCGUCGCAGGACGGGAAGGGCGCGCAAGCGCCCUAGAGAAAUGACAUUCACCGCGCCGCAAGGCGCGCACAGAAUCCGGCUUACAGGCCCCAAAGCUGU